UACAGAGGGUGCGAGCGUUGUUCGGAAUCAUUGGGCGUAAAGCGCGCGUAGGCGGUUACUUAUGUCGGAUGUGAAAGCCCUCGGCUUAACUGAGGAAGUGCAUUCGAAACUGGGUAGCUAGAGUACUAAAGAGGGUCGCGGAAUUCCCGGUGUAGAGGUGAAAUUCGUAGAUAUCGGGAGGAACACCGGUGGCGAAGGCGGCGACCUGGGUAGAUACUGACGCUGAGGCGCGAAAGCGUGGGGAGCAAACAGG
rnacentral:rRNA from 1 species